ensembl:lncRNA
UAGAGUAGUAUAUGUAGAGAACAUUGUAUUUAGAGUACUAUAUAGUAUAUGUAGAGAACAUUGUAUUUAGAGUACUGUGUAGUAUAUGUAGAUAGAACCUUCUAGCCCCAACCUCUGCUGGUGUUUGUGACGCCUUUCAUAAUAUGACCUUUCAGCUUUCUGCUCUACAGGGAAAAGCUCAUUGUAUGAAAGAGUCAGAAGAUGUAUUUAAAACCUGCAUGGAGGAACUGUUCUUAUUACGAAGGGUGUAUCCUGAAUGGAACCCUGUAUAGUGCACCACUUCUGGUCAAAUCUAGUGCACUAUAUAGUGUGUCACUUCUGAUCAAAACUAGUGCACUAUAUAGUGCGCCACUUCUGGUCAAAACUAGUGCACUAUAUAGUGUGCCACUUCUGGUCAAAACUAGUGCACUAUAUAGUGUGCCACUUCUGGUCAAAACUAGUGCACUAUAUAGUGUGCCACUUCUGGUCAAAACUAGUGCACUAUAUAGUGUGCCACUUCUGGUCAAAACUAGUGCACUAUAUAGUGUGCCACUAGGGACAGACACACCAAGGGCUAGGCAGGGUUGUGUAGUCUGUUAUUACAGAUGCUCAUCGUCUGUCUCUGCUUCUAACUGUUAUCCCGUCAGACACAGAUUAAACCCUAUUUCUGGAAUCUCUACUGAAAGUGCUUCUUAAUCUGUGUCUGGGAAACUUGUCUGUUAUGGGUUAGAAUGGAAUUGGCCUUCCUAUGAAUUGUCUUACCUGGGAAGGCUAUUUUGAAUCACAACCCGGCACAGCCAGAAGAGGACUGGCCACCCCUCAUACCCUGGUUCCUCUCUAGGUUUAUAAUCUCCACCCGGCACAGCCAGAAGAGGACUGGCCACCCCCUCAUAGCCUGGUUCCUCUCUAGGUUUCUUCCUAGGUUUUGGCCUUUCUAGGGAGUUUUUCCUAGCCACCGUGCUUCUACACCUGCAUUGCUUGCUGUUUGGGGUUUUAGGCUGGGGUUCUGUACAGCACUUUGAGAUAUCAGCUGAUGUAAGAAAGGCUUUAUAAAUCAAUUUGAUUUGAUUUGAACUGAAAGUACUGGUUCACAAAAUUGUACAAAGUAUUCAGAACCCAGUAAAAAUAAGUCCUGGGUCUGUGAUAUUAGUUCUACCCCCAUCCUUUACUUUAAAUAUUGACUUUGUUGCAUGUUAACAGCCAACCAAUCAAGCUUCAUUUGACCUAUACUGUAAUAAUAUGGUAUAUUACGGAGUAGUUGGGUACGUGGUGAGAUUUGUUGGAUUGAAAACACAAAAAAUGAUUUUAAAAAAUGAAACCAGAGAUUCUUGUUGGUACUGCAUUGAGUUUACUUGUUUAAAAUCACUGUCCGUCUCUGUUUGUGUCCCACAUGGACCCUAUUUCAUAUAGACCUGCGAUACUUUUGACCAGGGCACAUAAGACUUUGGUCAAAAGUAGUGUACUAUAUAGGGAAUUAGGCUUUGUCCCAAAUACACCACCUAUGUUUAUUGUUUAUCAUGUAACCAUAACAUGAUGAAAUCAAAUCUGCCCCUCAGACUGUGGUUGCUACACAUCACUUACAAUUCAAUGCUAAAUCAUCUCUGUAGUAUAUGUUAUAGUAAUUAGCAACAUCAACAAGAAUUUAGUGAGGUUUAACUAUUUCUCACUUAGUUGGAACUAAUGUUUGGGUGAGAAAUAUUUGGGGGAGGGAAACAUUUUUAUUUCUAAACAUAUUAAAAUAAUAGUAUAGUAUAUUUUAAAUGUCAGGGUACAUGCCAUUACAAAAACAAACAAAAACAUGUCAUAAACGGAAUGUAUUGCUUGACUGCUGGACACGUGAUACAACCAGAUGCUUCAAACCUUUUGCGUUCCAGCGGAAGUCAUUCGUCGUCAGUGGAGCUGUCCGCAACGAUCCGUUGCUAAAGGAAAGACGGGCUGAAACGUUUUGCAUAGUUAGAUUUCGGGUAUAUAAAUUGCAUAUACGAUGAUGAUGAUGUCACGCAAGCUACUUCGAACAGUUUCAGGCAGCGCUUGUGUUGUCCACUAUGAUGUGAUGCUGUGACCAACAUUGGCCUGGAUGCUUCCUACAUAGAAAAGGACGUUUUUAUUAAUUUAGUAGCCUAAGCUAAAUAAAAUGUAAAAAAUUGCACGGUUGUCUGUCACUUAUUAUUAAUGCUAUGCUAUUGCUAUUUUACGAUAUUAAAGGGCUGCUGUCAAAAAUAGCAACAUUUAGCUAAAUUGUGUCUCUUGACGUUCUGGUCAUUUGUCAACCUUGCCUUUGUUGUUUCUAUCAUCGCAGUGAUUUACGGUAAUUUCACGUUAAUUACAGUGCAUUCGGAAAGUGUUCAGACCUUUGACUUUUUCAACCCAAAAAAAUUAACAUUACAGCGUAUUUUAAAAUGGAGAAGGAAAAAAAAUCAUCAAUCUACACACAAUAUCCCACAAUGACAGCGAAAACAGCUUUGUAGAAAUGUUUGCACAUUUAUAAAAAACAAGUAUUCGG